rnacentral:rRNA from 1 species
CCCACGGUCAUCUCCAUCUCAUCGAAGUAGUCACACAGGCGUGGCGUAGGGAGGCCGGGAACCAAUAAAAAAGGCCGUGUCGGGCGAAGAGGAGAAUCAAAGCGACUCUCCUGGUAGCAGCAGCUAGCCAGCGACUCCUGCUUUGCUUUGCUUCCUCGUCGAGGAAGAGGAAGAAGAAGAUGGGGGGCGUCGGCGUCUCCCUUGCGCUGCUCGUCGCCGUCGUCCUCUCCGCCGUCGCUGCUGCCCCGCAGCUAGCCGGCACAGCCAAGGCAGAGCAUUCCCUAGGAAUCAUCCAGAAGGACAUCAUUCAGACGGUCAACAAGCAUCCCAAUGCCGGGUGGACGGCUGGACACAACCCCUACUUUGCAAACUACACUAUUGAGCAAUUCAAGCAUAUCCUGGGAGUGAAGCCAACGCCUCCGGGUUUGCUCGCUGGUGUUCCGAUCAAAAUUCAUCCAGAAAUGGAUCUCCCCAAGGAGUUUGACGCUAGAACUCAAUGGUCCAGUUGCAGCACAAUUGGGAACAUACUUGGUCAGGGUCACUGUGGUGCCUGUUGGGCCUUUGCUGCCGUGGAAGCUCUCCAGGAUCGUUUCUGUAUUCAUCUCAACAUGAGCGUCUCCCUUUCGGUCAAUGACCUACUGGCUUGCUGUGGUUUUCUGUGUGGUAGCGGUUGUAAUGGAGGAUAUCCUAUCAGCGCAUGGCGCUACUUCCGUCGCAGUGGCGUCGUCACUGAGGAGUGCGAUCCAUACUUCGAUCAGACUGGUUGCCAGCAUCCUGGAUGCGAGCCAGCUUAUCCUACACCAAAAUGUCAAAGGAAAUGCAAGGUGGAGAACCAAGCGUGGAAGGAAAAUAAGCAUUUCAGUGUUAACGCGUACAGAGUACAUUCUAAUCCCCAUGACAUCAUGGCAGAGGUCUACAAAAAUGGCCCUGUAGAAGUUGCUUUCACCGUUUAUGAGGAGUAUACAAGCACAUCACAGGUGGCGUGAUGGGAGGUCAUGCCGUCAAGUUGAUCGGUUGGGGAACCAGUGAUGCUGGCGAGGAUUACUGGCUUCUUGCAAAUCAGUGGAACAGAGGCUGGGGUGAUGACGGAUACUUCAAGAUCAUAAGGGGCGAGAAUGAAUGUGGCAUCGAAGGCGAUGUUACUGCCGGUAUGCCCUCGACAAAGAACACGGCCAGAAACAAUGAUGUCGCCUUUGGAACGGCCAUACUUUGAGGAGAGCACGAACACAGUUGAAAUUAGCUGUUUGCAUGUCAAAUGAAGCCACUAAUUUAACUCUGUGGGUUCCAUGAUACUGUAUUCUGUACACUAGCGCAAACGCUGAUAUGUUGUUCAAACAACACUUGUUCAGAAACAGAAGGGGAUAAUAAUGUCAAUAAAAACAUAAGGAUGUCAUCUCUUCAAUCAUUAUGUGCUAUGUUUCAUUUUUAGUGUGCAGAGUUGAUCUGUACCACAGAGAUGAGCUCAUGAUGAACGGUACUGUAAAAUGGAAGAAUCCAAGUAGAGCCACCAGUGCACAUGAGCUAUGAUACAAAUCGGUGAAAUCUGAUAGAAGUGUCACUCAGGAAAAUU